rnacentral:lncRNA from 1 species
AUUGCCCAACCUUGAGAAGCAACCAAUACGUCCUCUAGUAGGUUUUGUCUCCUUGAAAGCCCAUCUGUAUGAAAAAGCCUGACAAUCAUACAGAAAAAGAACUCUGCUUCAUGGAGAGAGGAAAACCACAUGGAGAUUUGUCAACAGUCACCUCCAUGAAUCCUCUCAAAGUUUCCAGAGAGCCCAGCUACCAACUGAAUGCAACAGAGGAUUUUGUGGAAGACAACAGAGUUAUGAGAAGUGGAGAUGAGAUACCUUAAUUCAAUAGUGCCUGGACAAACCUUUGACAGAUCACAAGAUCAAGAGGAGACGUGUUUAUGACAAGUUAAAGAGAAUGAUGGCGGUAGAAAGCAUUCGGUCCCAGCGGGGAAAUGGAAUUAAAAGUGUCUCCCAUUUGGGACCCUGUGGGAAUAUAUACUUAAGCAAGAUUAUAUCAUUUCAAACUAAGGUAGCCUUAUUCAAAUAAUAAGAUUGAAACUUUAUUGGUAAAUAGAAGGCCCCAGUUUUUACUCCCUAUCCUUCUUUAGUGCUUGUGUGUUAGAAAAGCACCCAUAAUUUUCCACCCUUUUCAGAAGUGUGAGAAUACCAAAAGGGAGGAUUGCAUGGAAAAACACCAUGGCAAAACAUGAGGUGAAUCACUUCAGGCAAGAGUUCGGUAAAGGAUUGUGAUAGUGUGAUAUAAAAAGAUAUAUAUAUAUAUAUUUUUUUUUGGUCUUUGUCUCCAGUUUCUGGUACAGAGCUUCUAAAACCUUUGGAAUUUCCUGAGUAAUAAGCUUGAUAGGUGCAUCUUUGGUUAUAAUAUUUGGUCACAGGCCCGCCCCAGCUUCUAAGACUCUUGGAAUCUCCAAAGUGAUAAGUGUAUUUUGGUAUGCUAAUGAGAUGAUUGGUGGCUAGAGGCCUCUAGAUCACUUUAGGAUGGAGGGUGGCCACCAGAAAGAAAGGCAUGAUUAUAGGGUUGAAACUUUCAGGCCUACUCCCAACCUGUGGGUAGAGAUGGGGGUGCUAGAUGGAGAUUGAGUUAUCAUCAAUGGCACAUGAUAUAAUCAAUCAUGCAUAUGUGACAGAACCUUCAUAAAAACCCUAAUGGACAGAGUUCAGAGAGCAUUUCAUUAGUGAACACCUCUAGACACCAAUAAAGUGGUGAAAAGGUGCAUGGAGACUUCAAGCCCCUCCUCCACCUUGCCCGGUGCAUCCCUUCCAUUUGGCUGUUCCUGAGUUGUACGCUUAUAAUAUUACGGUAAUAGCAAGUGAAGUGCUUUCCUGAGUUCUUUGAUUUGUUCUAGCAAUUUCUUAAAUGUAAUGAAGGGGUUGUGGUAAUCUCUUGAAUUUAUAGCUGGUCAGUCAGAAGUCCUAGUAGUCCAGGACUUAUGCCUGGCAUCUGAAGUGGGGGCAGUCUUGUGAGACUGAGCACUUAACUUGUGGAAUGGGAUGUUAAUUUCAGCUAACUAACUAUUGUCAGACUAUUUUAGGAUACCCAUCUGUUAUUAGAGAAAUGAUUAGUGUAGGGGUAUCUAUGAGCCAAGGAGAGAGACCUGAGAAGAAAACAACCCAGCCAAUACCUUGAUCUCAGAGUUUAAGUCUCCAGAACUGUGAGAAAAUAAAUGUUUGUUAUUUAAGCCACCCACUCUGUGGUACUUUGUUAUGGCAGUCCUAACAAACAAAUACACUAAUAUCAGCUGUCAUAGUUGCUGGCUU